rnacentral:rRNA from 1 species
CAGGUGGUGCAUGGCUGUCGUCAGCUCGUGUCGUGAGAUGUUGGGUUAAGUCCCGCAACGAGCGCAACCCUUAUUCUUAGUUGUUUUCCCUUUGGGAUACCUCUAAGAAGACUGCCUCGGAUAACGGGAGGAAGGUGGGGAUGACGUCAAGUCCGCAUGCUCCUUACGUCUAGGGCUACACACGUCCUACAAUGGGGUCGACAAUGGGAUGCAAUAUCGCAAGAUGGAGCCAAUCCCCAAACGGCCUCUCAGUUCGGAUUGUAGUCUGCAACUCGACUACAUGAAGUUGGAAUCGCUAGUAAUCGCGUAUCAGCAUGACGCGGUGAAUACGUUCCCGGGCCUU